UACGAAGGGGGCUAGCGUUGUUCGGAAUUACUGGGCGUAAAGCGCGCGCAGGCGGUCUUCCAAGUCAGUGGUGAAAGCCCGGAGCUCAACUCCGGAAUUGCCAUUGAAACUGUUAGACUUGAGGAUGAGAGAGGUGAGUGGAAUUCCCAGUGUAGAGGUGAAAUUCGUAGAUAUUGGGAAGAACACCGGUGGCGAAGGCGGCUCACUGGGUCAUUACUGACGCUCAGGCGCGAUAGCGUGGGGAGCAAACAGG
rnacentral:rRNA from 1 species